GCGUGAGUGAAGAAGGCCUUAGGGUUGUAAAACUCUUUCGCCGGAGAAGAUAAUGACGGUAUCCGGAGAAGAAGCCCCGGCUAACUUCGUGCCAGCAGCCGCGGUAAUACGAAGGGGGCUAGCGUUGUUCGGAAUUACUGGGCGUAAAGCGUACGUAGGCGGAUUUGUAAGUAGGGGGUGAAAUCCCCAGGCUCAACCUGGGAACUGCCUUCUAGACUGCAAGUCUCGAGAUCAGGAGAGGCGAGUGGAAUUCCGAGUGUAGAGGUGAAAUUCGU
rnacentral:rRNA from 1 species